GACGAACCGUCCAAACGUUAUUCGGAAUCACUGGGCUUAAAGGGUGCGUAGGCGGUAUGGAAAGUAGGGUGUGAAAGCCCUCGGCUCAACCGAGGAAUUGCGCUCUAAACUGCCGUACUUGAGGAAGCUAGAGGUGAGCGGAACUGAUGGUGGAGCGGUGAAAUGCGUUGAUAUCAUCAGGAACACCGGAGGCGAAGGCGGCUCACUGGGGCUUUUCUGACGCUGAGGAACGAAAGCCAGGGUAGCGAACGGG
rnacentral:rRNA from 1 species